rnacentral:rRNA from 1 species
AGAGUUUGAUCCUGGCUCAGGAUGAACGCUGGCGGCAUGCCUAAUACAUGCAAGUCGAACGAGGGUCCUUCGGGACUCGAGUGGCGAACGGGUGAGUAACACGUAGGGAACCUGCCCGUGCGACCGGGAGAACUUUCGGAAACGGAAGCUGAUACCGGAUAGGGACAGAGACGGCAUCGACUCCGUGUUAAAGGAGCUGAAAGGCUCCGCGCACGGAUGGACCUGCGGUGCAUUAGCUAGUUGGUGGGGUAACGGCCCACCAAGGCGACGAUGCAUAGCCGGCCUGAGAGGGCGGACGGCCACACUGGGACUGAGACACGGCCCAGACUCCUACGGGAGGCAGCAGUAGGGAAUUUUCGUCAAUGGGCGCAAGCCUGAACGAGCAAUGCCGCGUGAACGAGGAAGGUCUUCGGAUCGUAAAGUUCUGUUGAAGGGGAAAAAGAGCGGAGAGAGGAAAUGAACUCCGAUUGAUAUUACCCUUCGAGGAAGUCACGGCUAACUACGUGCCAGCAGCCGCGGUAAUACGUAGGUGGCGAGCGUUAUCCGGAAUGAUUGGGCGUAAAGGGUGCGUAGGCGGCCUGCUAAGUCUGGAGUGAAAGGUACCGGCUCAACCGGUACAGGCUCUGGAAACUGGCGGGCUAGAGAGCAGGAGAGGGCGGUGGAACUCCAUGUGUAGCGGUAAAAUGCGAAGAUAUAUGGAAGAACACCAGUGGCGAAGGCGGCCGCCUGGCCUGUUACUGACGCUAAGGCACGAAAGCGUGGGGAGCAAAUAGGAUUAGAUACCCUAGUAGUCCACGCCGUAAACGAUGAGGACCAAGUGUUGGGGAAGACCCAGUGCUGCAGUUAACGCAGUGAGUCCUCCGCCUGGGGAGUAUGCACGCAAGUGUGAAACUCAAAGGAAUUGACGGGGGCCCGCACAAGCGGUGGAGUAUGUGGUUUAAUUCGAAGCAACGCGAAGAACCUUACCAGGCCUUGACAUAGGGUGCGAAGCUAUGGAGACAUAGUGGAGGUAAACAUCCAUACAGGUGGUGCAUGGUUGUCGUCAGCUCGUGUCGUGAGAUGUUCAGUUAAGUCUGGCAACGAGCGCAACCCUCGUGAUGUGUUACCAAUAUCGAGUUAGGGACUCACAUCAGACUGCCGGUGAGAAACCGGAGGAAGGCGGGGAUGACGUCAAAUCAUCAUGCCCCUUAUGGCCUGGGCUACACACGUACUACAAUGGCGUAAACAAAGGGAAGCGAGCCCGCGAGGGGGAGCAAAUCUCAAAAAUAACGUCUCAGUUCGGACUGUAGUCUGCAACUCGACUACACGAAGCUGGAAUCGCUAGUAAUCGCGAAUCAGAAUGUCGCGGUGAAUACGUUCCCGGGUCUUGCACACACCGCCCGUCAA